GUCAUAUGCUUGUCUCAAAGAUUAAGCCAUGCAUGUCUCAGUACAAGCCAAAUUAAGGUGAAACCGCGAAAGGCUCAUUAAAUCAGUUAUGGUUCCUUAGAUCGUACCCACAAUUACUUGGAUAACUGUGGUAAUUCUAGAGCUAAUACAUGCAAACAGAGCUCCGACCGGAGACGGAAGGAGUGCUUUUAUUAGAUCAAAACCAAUCGGUGGCGGGUUCGCGCCCGUCAUCGUACAACUUGGUGACUCUGAAUAACUUUACGCUGAUCGCACGGUCAUCGCACCGGCGACGCAUCUUUCAAAUGUCUGCCUUAUCAACUGUCGAUGGUAGGUUCUGCGCCUACCAUGGUUGUAACGGGUAACGGGGAAUCAGGGUUCGAUUCCGGAGAGGGAGCCUGAGAAACGGCUACCACAUCCAAGGAAGGCAGCAGGCGCGCAAAUUACCCACUCCCGGCACGGGGAGGUAGUGACGAAAAAUAACGAUACGGGACUCAUCCGAGGCCCCGUAAUCGGAAUGAGUACACUCUAAACCCUUUAACGAGGAUCAAUUGGAGGGCAAGUCUGGUGCCAGCAGCCGCGGUAAUUCCAGCUCCAAUAGCGUAUAUUAAAGUUGUUGCGGUUAAAAAGCUCGUAGUCGAAUUUGUGUCUCGCGCCGCCGGUUCAUCGUCCGCGGUGUUAACUGGCGAGUCGCGAGACGUCCUGCCGGUGGGCUUAGCUCGCGAGGGCGGCCCAACUCAAUCCUGCCGCGGUGCUCUUCAUUGAGUGUCGAGGUGGGCCGGCACGUUUACUUUGAACAAAUUAGAGUGCUUAAAGCAGGCUAAAACUUCGCCUGAAUACUGUGUGCAUGGAAUAAUGGAAUAGGACCUCGGUUCUAUUUUGUUGGUUUUCGGAACCCCGAGGUAAUGAUUAAUAGGAACGGAUGGGGGCAUUCGUAUUGCGACGUUAGAGGUGAAAUUCUUGGAUCGUCGC
rnacentral:rRNA from 1 species